AGCGAACGCUGGCGGCAGGCCUAACACAUGCAAGUCGAACGAACCUUUCGGGGUUAGUGGCGGACGGGUGAGUAACACGUGGGAACGUGCCUUUAGGUUCGGAAUAACUCAGGGAAACUUGUGCUAAUACCGAAUGUGCCCUUCGGGGGAAAGAUUAAUCGCCUUUAGAGCGGCCCGCGUCUGAUUAGCUAGUUGGUUGAGGUAAUGGCUCACCAAGGCGACGAUCAGUAGCUGGUUUGAGAGGAUGAUCAGCCACAUUGGGACUGAGACACGGCCCAAACUCCUACGGGAGGCAGCAGUGGGGAAUCUUGCGCAAUGGGCGAAAGCCUGACGCAGCCAUGCCGCGUGAAUGAUGAAGGUCUUAGGAUUGUAAAAUUCUUUCACCGGGGACGAUAAUGACGGUACCCGGAGAAGAAGCCCCGGCUAACUUCGUG
rnacentral:rRNA from 1 species